GACUCUGCCUUAUGACUGGGCUACACACGUGCUACAAUGGAUGGUACAAAGGGCUGCAGACCGCGAGGUUAAGCGAAUCCCAUAAAACCAUUCUCAGUUCGGAUUGCAGGCUGCAACUCGCCUGCAUGAAGCCGGAAUCGCUAGUAAUCGCGGAUCAGCAUGCCGCGGUGAAUACGUUCCCGGGCCUUGUACACACCGCCCGUCACACCACGAGAGUUUGUAACACCCGAAGUCGGUGGGGUAACCUUUUGGAGCCAGCCGCCUAAGGUGGGACAGAUGAUUGGGGUGAAGUCGUAACAAGGUAGCCGUAUCGGAAGGUGCGGUUGAACCCCCCUCCUAAAA
rnacentral:rRNA from 1 species